ensembl:lncRNA
UGAUCAAUUUAGUUUAAUACAGGUUCUCAUAUUCAUGGCUUUAUUUUCCUGUAAGGUGACAAGUGAUAAUCUCAAAGUUUUCUGGAUUUCUUAUCAUUCUUAUAUGAUUACUUGCUCUUUUGUUCCUACUGUGGGUUUUAGUCCAUCAUCCAGAUGGUGGUGGUUGAGGAGAUUCCCUCGCCCCCAUACAAUGAAUAGCGCUUUGAUUUUACAGGCUUGGUUGGUUUCCAAGGAUUUUAGGAGGACGAGCGCGUGGCUCAUUGUUACUGUUACAUUUAUUUUUUCUUUCAGGUGGUAGGUUUGAGCUAUAUGGCGGUAGGUUGGCGGUAUAUGGCGGUAUAUUGCGG